GAUGGGGUUAACGUUGUAAUUGACCAGAGUUUUUUACUGAAGUCUCUGAGAAUAAAGACAUAGGUGUAGAUUACUGUGUAAAAGCUAAAAGGUUUGUGUUUCUUUCGGCCAGCAAUUCUCAAAACCCUAAUUUCAAUGGCUAAAGAGUUCAAGGUUCCGCCGGUGGCCUUCCCACAAGCCGGAAAUCCCAUCGCAGGAGGUCCAAACAUCCAGCAGCGACGCAUGGCUGCGCCGCCCUUCCAGCCAAACUCCGGCAUCCCCUUCAUGUCCUUUGACAUAGGCUCCGCCGCAGCGUCCACCUCAUCUGGCCCAAUCUACUCCGGACCCGGCACCGUGGGCGGCUCCGCCAACUUCGACGACGAGGAACCACUCCUCGAUGAGCUCGGGAUCCACCCUGAACAAAUCUGGAGCAAGAUCCGAUCCGUUCUGAACCCAUUCCGCGUGAACCACACCGUCCACAAGGAUUCCGAUCUAUCCGGACCGAUCCUUCUCUACAUGUCGUUUUGCCUCUUCCAGUUACUCGCCGGGAAAAUCCAAUUCGGCGUGAUUCUUGGCUGGAUCGUGGUCUCUUCGAUCUUCUUGUACGUGGUUUUUAACAUGCUUGCCGGUCGAGCCGGUAACUUGGACCUUCACACGUGCACCAGCGUGGUUGGUUACUGCAUGUUGCCGGUGGUGAUCUACUCGGCCAUGUCGCUAUUCUUGCCUCAGGGAGGGAUCGUGGCGAUUGUUGCCGCUUCGGUUUUCGUGCUGUGGGCGACCAGGGCUUCGACGGGUCUCAUCGUUCUGCUUGCGGAUGGCGGCGAGGAGCACCGUGGCUUGAUAGCAGAAGAGACAUUUGGCUCUGAGGGUUCUUGCCUCCUUCUACCGACGCUGCACCACACUUUCAGAUCACUCUGCACCGUUGCUGGUUCUCUGCUCCUUGCCCUGCGCUGUUGCAUGUUCUCUGCUCUCACCAUGAGCCGUCACUAAUACUCUGCUCCUCGCCGUAUCUCGCCUCGCUGCUGGGUGGUCUUGCCUUGUCCACUGUUGUGCUUGCAAUUGGAGUGGCCUAUAGUCCUAUACCUCGCUCCAACAUGGUUUGCAUCAGAGCUUGGUGUUGAAAUUGUCCAUGUCCUCAUUGGCCCAGUUUCAUACUUGUUGCUCUCCAAGCCUGCCAAGGGUGUUGAGAAGACCUUCUCUCUCUUCUCACUUCUCCCCAAGGUCCUCACUGGCUACAAAUAGCUGAUUGCUUUAUUGUAAAUGCCACUCUUUGGUUUCCUCGUGUAGAGUUAGAACCGUAAGGUAAAAGAUUCAACUGCCAAGGAUACUCUCUCUUGCGAAGGAUACAAGGCCUGCGUGUGAACCGAGAGACCCCAACCUACCUCACGCUACGUUGUCAGAUCUCAUGUGAAAAGCUUACCCUAAAUGUAGUUGUGAUUGGCACUGCUGUGCAUGAUCAUGUCUUUGGUUAUAUUUUGACAUUCUCUUUUUUUUUUCAAGCUAAUGCAAUUUAGUUGAGUUUUUGACGGGGUGGUACUGUUUUUACAACGUUAAAAUAAUGAUUAAUAAGUAAUUUUUCAGCAUUGUAAAAAACAUGGUGCUCUCUGAAAGCAAAUGUUUAAUUAUGUGAUUAUUGAUUAUAUAGCAUUAGUCA